CUCCUAAGUUUUAAUUUAUGCUCUCAGAACCAUAUUUAUAGUCAAUUCAUGCAACCUUUAGUUGUGUAUGAUGAGGGAGGUUGUUUUUGUCUCCUCCAGGAAAUCCGGAAGGUGGUUUUGAUUUAAUAGUACCCUGAGGUUUUUGCAGGACAACAUGGAAAAGGCUGAGGGGAAACUAUACCAGAGAGCAUAAUAAGAAGACCAAGAGCGGGAAUUCAAGUGUUGGACUAAAAGAUCCUGAGAUAUUACAGAAGUUGGACUGGCUCUCCCCGUUCAUAAAACACAAAACCCAACCGACCCACAUUCCAGGAGUAAAGGUUCUGUUAGUGAGAGGACAAGGAGAGACUGGAGGCAGUGGUGAGGCAUCGAUGGACAGAUUCCUCGGUCGUUUCACCCCAUUGUCCACCCCUGCAGCAGACAGCACCUUUACCCCUCCUGUAACCACACACACCAGACCUUCCAGACCCAUGUCUACCCUAACACAGUCUAGGGACGGCCCCUCUUCAUCUAAACCAAGCUCCAGCUCUACCAGUGGACCAGCACAACCAAGGAAGAGGACACAGGACAGAGUAGAUCAAGCCCACAGCAAGAACCCUAAGGUUCUGUUAGUGAGAGGACAAGGAGAGACUGGAGGCAGUGGUGAGGCAUCGAUGGACAGAUUCCUCGGUCGUUUCACCCCAUUGUCCACCCCUGCAGCAGACAGCACCUUUACCCCUUCUGUAACCACACACACCAGAACUUCCAGACCCAUGUCUACCCUAACACAGUCUAGGGACGGCCCCUCUUCAUCUAAACCAAGCUCCAGCUCUACCAGUGGACCAGCACAACCAAGGAAGAGGACACAGGACAGAGUAGAUCAAGCCGCCAGCAAGAACCCUAAGGUUAGGGUUAGGUAGUGAUGAUGGUGACGCCUUACUUGCCUGAACUGAAGUCCCAAGCUAAAUCAGAUAUACUGAAACUGCUUUCUACAAUGCAGGAAAAGCUCUCUCAGCAUCAGAGUAGCGCCAAUGUUAAUUACUGAUUAUGUUUUUCAACAUUGAACUUCCAUAAUUUAUACAUUAUAAUUCACAUCAGUAUACAUUUUAAAUAGUAGGAAAAUAUGUUCUGAAUGCUACUUCUGCAGAUUCUGCAUUAACUAGAUACUAAAGGACAAAGGCUGUGUUUACACAGGCAGCCCAAUUCUGAUCUUUUGCCACUACAUGGGCAAAAGAUCAGAAUUAGGCUGCUUGUGUAAACGUAGCAUAAGAAUCCUUCUGUACAGAUUGAAUACUUUUUGCAUACUAAUUUCAGUUACAUUUGAAUUUAUUUUGGCAAUCUUAUCCCAUUUGCCUGACCGGGGUUAUAACUGAGGUCUACUGCGCACCAAAAGACGGUGUUUGCCCUUUGAGCUAAAGCCUAGGCAUUAGUUCAGGGAGCCUCAACGGCUGGUAGUUAGACUACAUGUUGAAUUGUAAAAGAUGUUGCACAUCGUCUACAUAUAUAAAUAAAUAACGCUUGCAAACAUUAUUUUCUUUACUCUUGCCUGUCAUGCAUGCUAAUAUAAAAAACUAUAGUUUUCCAAAAUAAAAUGUCAAAAAAUUGUC